UUAAAAAGACAAGGUUUACCCGGGAACACAUCCCUCCAGUGUUCCAUAUACAUUCCAAUGAGAUGCAUCUCAUUUCCGUAGCAACGGGAGAAUGAUGGAAUUUCAAAUGGCAGCAUAAUUAUGGUGUGCUUUUCCUCCUGACAGAAAAUCAGUAGCCGGUCGUCCAGGUGGAGUGAGCUCGGCUGAGCGGAGCUGAUUAGGGGCCAUCAGGGGAGAGAAUACACCUUUAACAACAUUGAUGCUGCGAUAGGAGGCUUCAUUAGCAUACGUCCAAGCUACGGGCACGUGCGUCGCCGGAUGUGUUGGCGGGAGCCGCUUUAGCGCUCAAUUAUACGGCAAGAGGAUCAUUUAUGUUCUUCAAAAGGAUGCGGCCGUGAAAAGAGGAGCGGCGUCACAAGCGAAAGGGUCCUCAACAAAUGCUGAUUUGUUUUGGGAGCACUUAGCGGGCGCCGCUCUCGCAGGUGAGGCGUCGUGAGGCGACUGGCGACGCCGUUGCUAGGAGCCGUCAAGUGAAAUGUCAGAAGACUCAGCAAGUGAUGAGAUUUGACAUAUGGCAUCAAAGCAUCAUUAGACUCACACCUGCUGCAGAUGGAGUGGGCUCCGUCGCGAGGGGCUCGGCGCCGGGGAGAGGCCCGGUGACGGGCAGGGAAGGACGAAAGGAGCAGAAGGAAGUUUAGUUUCAAGUGACAGAAGAGGUUUACAAAGUCCUUGGAAGAUAAAAAUGCCUGGUUUCACCUCAGUUAAACUCAUUGUGUGUUAUAAAUCUUGAAUCUUGGUGAAAGUGCUGCUUUCCUGCCAGAUCUUCUACUUGAUUGGGUUCUUUUAACCUUCACAAUAACCAGUCAAAGGGCAUAUUUUUCAAAAACACAAACUGAUAAUGGAUGCGUCUUUGUCGGCGGUCGUCUCACCAGACAGACAAGCGGCGGCAGAAGCCAAGAAUCGGAGCGGAGACGCUCUUUGGACACGACGCAGCUUGAAAGCUCCAAACGCGCGAGCCGAGCGAAAACGUCACGGAAUUUAAUUAGCGCUGCUGUCACCCGGCUACAGCAUUAAUUAUAGGCUGUAGAAAUGUAUCGCAAAUGUAUGUAUGUUCAGUGAAGAAGCUGCCUGUGUGCAGCAAAAUAAUAAGCUAUUAUUUAUAGUCAUAUUUAAAUGAGCUGCGGGUAUUUUCUCCGUCUUCACCGCUUUGUAAUUACCCUGUUUAUGAGUAGUCGGAGCUUCAGACAACGCCGGCCGCUGCCAAGUGUUCGACGUGGAGGGGAAUCCAUAAUGGCGUUCACCUUGUGGCCGUCAUUAGGUUUGAUGACACGUCUGCAAGGUUGCACUACAGUCAAGGAGCACGAGGCUAUUUUAAAGGACCGGAAGCACCUACAGUACCAUCACGGCUCCACUGACGCAUUAAGAAAACCUGCAUUCACUCAUCUAAUGUUAACAUGCAUUGUUCUAUAUGUUCUUCAUUACUAUUGAUUAUGAUUCAGUGUAUUUUCCACAGAAUAUCUGGAGGAUGUUCGUCUUUGUCUUUAGGUCCUUAUUUCAGGCGUAGGUUCAGAGAAAUCACCAGUGACACACCAUCAUGUCAGAAACAAAAGGAUAUUGUGUUGCAUCCUAAAUAAACUGACAAACACAACA